CCGCCCCCAUUGCACCAGCUAGCACACACAUGUACAGCCGGGACCGGGACAGCUCCCCCUUGGAACCAGCCGUGCCUCGUGGGGGGCCGGCCGGCUGGGGGACACCCUUCAAUUCCCCUUCGUCCAAUCGUCCUCCUCCUCCUCCUCCUGUGCCCAUUCAACUCUCGCCGGCCCCCAUCCCAUUCCUACCUUGCUUUCUUGCUUGCUGCAGCUACCUCCUCCUCCUCCUCCUCCUCCUCCAUAUAUACAUACCGACCCUUUCUCUACCUUCCCCUCCCCUCCUCCCUGCACCUCAUCUCAUACCCCAAAAAAGCUGAGAGGUAGCACGGGAGCUAGCUAGCCAUGAGGGUGAGGCUGAGGCACGAAGAUAUACAAGAAGAGAGCGAGGGACAGGAGGUGGUAGGAUCAGAGAGUUUGAGAGAUCUAGCUAAGCCAGCGAGAGGUCAAGGCGGAAAAGCUAGCUAGAGAGAGCAUAGCUAGAUCAGGGGAGCCUUUUCGUCUUUGAGGGGAAUGUUGUCUGGCUCGGGGGCGCCGCCGCUCCGCUCCGCUCCUUCCUUCUCUGGUCUCUCUCUCUCCCCUAGUCUUCGCGCGCUUCCUCAAUCUCCAUCGUCUCUUCCUCCUUCUCUUGGAGACCAGCAGGAGGACGGAGGCGGGUGGUGUAGAUCUCGGACCAGGCUUCAUUCCCCCCAAAAGGAAGGGCUCCCCCAUGAUCUUGAUCUGCGCGCGCACCUCCAUCAGAUGAGCAUGAGCUUCCCUCCAUCCGCUAGCUACCUAUCUUGCUGGGGGCACGUACAUGCAAAUCUGAACCGGUUGUUCAGUUUCUUGGGCGUAUAUGAUAUGGGGAGAUAGAUACUUUACAUAGAUAGAUCUUGUGGCUGCCAUGGUGAAGAACUCAAGACUGAAGAGAGGAUAUUACCUCUAGCUACCUGCAUCCUGCAUGAGAUGCAGAUUGGUGUAAUGAUGGGUGGGCAUGACUGCGCAUGACGGCCACUCCUACUGACCAGUGGGCAUCUGCAGCUGCACACAUACCCAUGGCUCAUGUAUGGUCGUAGUGGGGAUCUUUCUGAUUCUUCUUCUCUCUUUCCCUCGCAAUAAUUACCCUGUGAUGAGCUGACUGAUGAAACAAGAGGGUGCAUGUGUAGAAAGUUGCCAUCAUUAAAAUUUGGCCAUGCAUCUCGAUCUGCUCCCCUCUCAUCCCAUCCAUGCAAAUCCUUCUGAAUAAUCCGUGCUUAGUUUGGAGGUGUACACGUAUCUUUUUAUCCAGGUCUAUAAAAUUUCAAUCCUUAAUUUGCUUCAGUUCUUCUUACCUCUGCCUCAAUCUUUUUGCUUCCUGCAAUACAAUGUUCUGAAAAUACUACUUGAUAUACCCAACUGCUGUUCAAUUUUUUUUUCUUUUUGUUUCCCUCUCUUGAAGCUUUUGUUUACUUGCAUUCUGUGCAUUCUUUAAUUAAACCUGCCUUCUUCUCUGUAUACACAUCACUAUGUUUUCUCUUGUUUGAUAUCUACUCUAUAUGGAUUUAAGCUUACAUGAAUUAGAGCAUGCAUCACAACAGAUUUCAUUAUAUUUUAUUAUUCCAAAUUUAGCAACCAGAUUCUCUAUUAAUUAUGUGCUCUCUGUAGAGUGUAGACCAAUGAAAUUUUCAGUCUCAAAUAGCCAUCAAAUUAAACCCACCGUAUGCAUGAAAGAAAUGAAUGCCAUGUAUAAUUGUUUCCAAUGUAGAUCUAGCAGCAGAAGGAAUCCAAUACACUGUGCACUGUUCAAGUAGGUUUUGUAUUGUUCUUUGCUCUCCAGAUGUUGCAAUAAUUGGUCCUACUCCUAUAUAGGUUUCAGUUUAUGGGAAUGGUGGCAGGCACAUUUUUAUUCUUCUUCCUUUCAUUAGCAAAAACUGUUUCUUGCUGCAUUUAAUUUGGGAGAACUAACGAAAUUAAUAGGUCGAUCUGAAGAGGGAUGUGUAGAGGAAAUUGCUUAUAUAUGCUUUCUUUGCUCUGCUUUCUUGAGAAAAUGAUCACAGUUUGUUGAUACUAUGGUUGGCAUGCAUUGGCACUGUUACAACCUACUGCAUGCUAGCUGCUAAUGAUACUGUGCUCUUUGCUCUGUGAACAUGUAAAGCUUAAUCUACAGGAGAGCUUGUCAUGCAUGAUUUGUAUAUUUAUUAUGAAACAAUAUAAAACACUAAUAUCAAACUGUUGACACGUUACUCCUCCAGUAUGUAAUAGCUAGAGAUGCUUGCAGAUCUUGUCCACUUCUUGGGAACAUGAAUGCAGUAUAGUAUAAGUGAAGCUUGAUUCCUUUUUAUAAUCUUGUAGUAUUGGUAUAUACUAUAUACUACAGUCUACACUAUCAUGUCAGAACCUAGAAGAGAGUAGGAUACAUACAUGUAUAAGUUAUUAUAUUGUUCAGACCUUGACACCGAUCGAUGCAUUGAUUUUGGUGUAACCUUGUUUUGCUAUAUUGAAUAACCAGCUAUUAGCUCUGA